ACGGCAACAACCCAACCUCGACCUUUUACCCUUGAAGCAAGAAAAGUUGCAUGAUGUAGAAAAAAAGCAAUAAAACAUUAAAAAAAUAGACAUGUAGUCACAAAUGGAAUUGAAAUGAAUACUAAUAAUCAUUUGGGAGGAUAAUGACACACACCAAACUUUGCUUCCUUGAAUAAACACAUGCUCAAGGUGUGAGAUCUUUCCAUCCUAUUGAUAUCAACAAAACUACAUCAUCAGGGUUACAAGUUCUGCCAGACCUUUAGGCUUCCUAGGACAUAAUUAUUAGGGAAUCAAAACUAGGUAGCAUCUUACAUCUCUAUUGUUUCAACCAUAAUAAUAGGGUUAAGACCCUUUUUCAGCCAACAAAGGUAUAUUAACAUCUCUAUGGCUUCUCCUAUAUGAUGAGUAUCCUUGUCUAUGAAGAAUAGGCCCAACAUAACCUCAACAAUCACAAAUAUGCCAACAGCUAAACUUCACACUGAAUUAAGAAAACAAAAUAUAAUCAGUUGCCAUAGCAACUUUUAUUGUUACUUCCUCUGUUCUUUCUACUUAUUUCUUGAUAAUAUAACUACUAACAGCUGCAGAUUUAAUAUAUUCAUCAAUUAAACCAUACAACUAAGAGACUAAACACCUAACCUCGAAAAUUUACUCUUAAGGAUACUACCCUGCAUCUUGAAGUUAUUGUAUAUUGAACAUGUCAAAUCCUAAAGUAUACAAAGUUACAAACUAUUGUCUUAAAAUAUUAAGCACUGAUUUGUAAUCGGUAACUAUAAUUACGUGAUAUAACAUACCUUACACUGAUUUUUGAGCAUGCUUUUUUCAUUCAACAAAACUCGCAAUUUGAUAUAUUGGCGUACCAAUAUUUAGGGUUAGGGAUUUUACCCUGAUAAUCGUCUCGCACUCUUGAAUCCUUAUCUUUUAGCUGAUUUCUUAACUGGUUGAGCCUCUGACUUAUACUCGAUCUUCAUUAUUAUUGCUUAAAUUUGGAAGUCACAUUCAAUUCACUUAUGUCGUUAUAAACUGCACACAAACACUUUACCCGUUUCUGAAUUUGGGAGACGAACAGACGAGGUAAAAACAGAAAGUUCUUUUUCUAAUAGUCCCCAUCAUUUCACAUUUUGCAUAAAGGUACCCAAAAUUCCACACUAAAACCAAAAUAUACCCUCACCAAAACAAGUUUAUACUUCCUCAUGCGAAAAAUUAGUAAUUCAAAAUUUGUGUGCAUUUUAUACAUUUUGAUGUUUAGUUGCAUGAUAUUUUAGAAUAUAUUAUUAAGAACGCAAGUCUAUGUCUCAUCUUAAUCUACCUGGCGGGACAAAAAGUUGCAUCAACAAGUGUUUGCUUUCCUAUGACAAACAAGGUGUCUCAAAAGGUACUUCUAUUUAUUAUAACAUCUUAUUUUCAUUUUUCCGUAUUGCAACAAUGUACUUCCAAAUUUUUGUUUAUUUAUGAAUGCAUUAUACUAUAGAAAAACUACUUAGUUAUAACAUUGUACUUUCAAC
rnacentral:lncRNA from 1 species